rnacentral:rRNA from 1 species
GAUGAAUGCUGACAGAAUGCUUAACACAUGCAAGUCUUUGGCGAAUCUGUGCUUGCAUAGGCUAGCCAAGGCGGACGGGUGAGUAACGCGUAAAGAACUUGCCUUGCAGACAGGGAUAACAGACGGAAACGACUGACAACACCUGAUACAGUUGCCGGCACGCAUGUGUCUGGCAAUGAAAAGAGAUGCUGCGGGAGAGCUUUGCGUCCUAUUGCUUGUUGGCGGGGUAACGGCCCACCAAGGCGAUGAUAGGUAGCCGGCCUGAGAGGGUGAACGGCCACAAGGGGACUGAGAUACGGCCCUUACUCCUACGGGAGGCAGCAGUGGGGAAUAUUGGACAAUGGGGGCAACCCUGAUCCAGCAAUUCUGUGUGCACGAGGAAGGUUUUCGGAUUGUAAAGUGCUUUCAGCAGGGAAGAAGGAAGUGACGGUACUGCAGAAGAAGCGACGCUAAUACCA